CCCUUAGAUGUUCUGGGCCGCACGCGUGCUACACUGAGUGGAUCAGCGGGUCAGGUUGCGCGAAAGCGUUUCCUAAUCUUUAAAUCCGCUCGUGAUGGGGAUUGACGGUUGCAAUUUUCUGUCAUGAACGAGGAAUACCUUGUAAGCGCGGGUCAUCAUCCCGCGCUGAAUACGUCCCUGCCCUUUGUACACACCGCCCGUCGCUCCUACCGAUUGAGUGGUCCGGUGAGGCUUUGGGAUCUGAGCGGAAGGAGCGUUUCGCUGUUUCUGCUCGGAAAACUCAGUCGAACCUUAUCAUUUAGAGGAAGGAGAAGUCGUAACA
rnacentral:rRNA from 1 species